UUGCUUUCUUUGCUGGCGACCGGCGCACGGGUGAGUAACACGUAUCCAACCUGCCCUUUACUCGGGGAUAGCCUUUCGAAAGAAAGAUUAAUACCCGAUAGCAUAAUGAUUCCGCAUGGUUUCAUUAUUAAAGGAUUCCGGUAAAGGAUGGGGAUGCGUUCCAUUAGGUUGUUGGUGGGGUAACGGCCCACCAAGCCUUCGAUGGAUAGGGGUUCUGAGAGGAAGGUCCCCCACAUGGAACUGAGACACGGUCCAA
rnacentral:rRNA from 1 species